UACGUAGGGACCAAGCGUUGUUCGGAUUUACUGGGCGUAAAGGGCGCGUAGGCGGCGCGACAAGUCACUUGUGAAAUCUCCGGGCUUAACUCGGAACGGCCAAGUGAAACUGUCAUGCUAGAGUGCAGAAGGGGCAAUCGGAAUUCUUGGUGUAGCGGUGAAAUGCGUAGAUAUCAAGAGGAACACCUGAGGUGAAGACGGGUUGCUGGGCUGACACUGACGCUGAUGCGCGAAAGCCAGGGGAGCAAACGGG
rnacentral:rRNA from 1 species